AUUCUGCUAUGUAUGUAUGGAAUGAGUAGAUCUAUCAAUUGAAGAAAAGAACGUCUCGCAGAAUGAUUGACCUCCUGUGCUGGAUGUUAGAUCCGAAGGGUAAGCCUAUGGCGCAGUGAAUCUAUUUCUAGGUUUGGAGAUAUAUUUUGAAGCUAGACUUUGCUGUAAAUUUUCACAUUUUUGGGGUAUAUGUACCAUGCAAUUUCUGUUAUUUGAUGUGAAAAAUCAUUGUAGUGAUGUAAACCUCAUCUCUGGUAUCUACAGCAGAUCGUCUUUUCUUGCAUCUUCUCCUCUGGAACACUAUUUAGUAGAAUUUUCUGAGUCUCCCUUGUAGAUGAUGCUUAGUGUAUUUGAUGUUGUUAGGCAAUUAUCUCAUUCAACAAGAAGGUCUGUUUCCCAUGUCUUCCGGUUUCCAUUAUCUACCUAGAAUCUCUAAAUGGAGUAUAUGUGCUAGAGUAGUGGAUUUUUUUGUGUUAUAUAUACCAUGGGAAAGUAUUAAUUGCACAAUUAUGUUUUGUUAUCCACACAAUUAGUUAGGUGGGUUCAUGCACCAAACAUGCGAAGGGACACAUUAAGGAGUUUCUACGAAGCAGUCUAUUAUAGUCAUUUACAAGUUUUGAUAAUGUCUGACUCCUGUUUUAGUAUUUAUUGUAUUUACUAAUUUGGAUCGCUUACCUGUAAAACAUCACUAUAUAUGUGAGUGUACUAUUUUUGAAGUUGAGGAAGGUAUCAUCUUGAAGUACUUAGUAUUCUUUAAAUUCAUUUUGUCUUAGUUAUUCUUUUCUAAAUAUGGCCACUGAAUGGGGUAUUUCUGGUUUUUCUAAGUUCCAAUUGUCCAAUAUUUCCAGAUAAUUUGACUGGGUAAAUGUUUUCCUUUUUAAGCUCAAGUUGUCCAAUUUCACUUUUGAAUGGGGUACUUCUCUUCCUCGAGAGUCGUUAGUUCAGAGAUGUUGGUUUGGAGAAACUUGUUGGUUUGGCUUUGUUCCUGUUUUUCCCUCAAGUUCUUGUAUCUACUUUGAUAUUUUUAAGCUUAAAGGACAUAGUUUUUAGGUUAAAAUACACAAAUUCAGUUUUCUCCAGAAGAGGUGAUAAGAAGUUGGGAGGAUGGUGAACAGGUUGUUGUGGAGCAUGUUAAUAGAAAAAGGUCGUGGUAUGAUUUUAUUUUGAGCAUCUUAAAUAGGACAAGGUCCUGGUAUGAUCACCUGGAUUCAUGUUCAUACAUUGACCCACUCUAGUCAUUUUGCGCUUUUUGAAGUAUCUGAGUAUUUGUUUUGGAUUAACGUUUCAAGGGCUUCUGGCUAUUUUGUGCAGGUUUUGGAGGAUGAGUGUUCUAUCCAUAUGGCAGUGUCGCUGAUCGAAUAAGAACUGAAUGCUCUCAAAAAGUGUUGUCUUCACUCACCUGUAUUGAAUGUAGUUACGGAAUAUAGGUGGUGUAUAUGUAAUUAUUCUCUUGAGUAUAGGUGGAAGUAGCUUUUUGUUUUGGGUUUUGUGAUAGAGUUGGGUGUCUCAUUAUUUGGCAUAUCUCACAAGCUUAUUUAGUCUCUUUCGAUUUGAGAUUGGUAUCUGUGGAUUAGUAUGUUGGAUGUGAUAAAACGUUGAGUUCUGGGAAAACAAGGUGAUAUUUUUACUAAAAACAUAGACUGGUGGAAGUUUAACUCCGGAAGAAGCACUUGAUGAAACAUCCCAUAAUUUGGCAGAUGCGAGGCAGAGAAUGUCCAUGAUUCCAUGUGUAUACUGUUGGAACUGAUGCAAAAAGUUAAUUUCAUGAUGCAUAUUGUUCUCUCUUUGUGAAGAUACUUUGUAGCCCCAUAACUGGAGAAUCUGCUUUCUGGAUAUUACAUUUAUAUUUAUAUU